rnacentral:rRNA from 1 species
AUCUGGCUCAGGACGAACGCUGGCGGCGUGCCUAAUACAUGCAAGUCGAGCGGACAGAAGGGAGCUUGCUCCCGGAUGUUAGCGGCGGACGGGUGAGUAACACGUGGGUAACCUGCCUGUAAGACUGGGAUAACUCCGGGAAACCGGAGCUAAUACCGGAUAGUUCCUUGAACCGCAUGGUUCAAGGAUGAAAGACGGUUUCGGCUGUCACUUACAGAUGGACCCGCGGCGCAUUAGCUAGUUGGUGAGGUAACGGCUCACCAAGGCGACGAUGCGUAGCCGACCUGAGAGGGUGAUCGGCCACACUGGGACUGAGACACGGCCCAGACUCCUACGGGAGGCAGCAGUAGGGAAUCUUCCGCAAUGGACGAAAGUCUGACGGAGCAACGCCGCGUGAGUGAUGAAGGUUUUCGGAUCGUAAAGCUCUGUUGUUAGGGAAGAACAAGUGCAAGAGUAACUGCUUGCACCUUGACGGUACCUAACCAGAAAGCCACGGCUAACUACGUGCCAGCAGCCGCGGUAAUACGUAGGUGGCAAGCGUUGUCCGGAAUUAUUGGGCGUAAAGGGCUCGCAGGCGGUUUCUUAAGUCUGAUGUGAAAGCCCCCGGCUCAACCGGGGAGGGUCAUUGGAAACUGGGAAACUUGAGUGCAGAAGAGGAGAGUGGAAUUCCACGUGUAGCGGUGAAAUGCGUAGAGAUGUGGAGGAACACCAGUGGCGAAGGCGACUCUCUGGUCUGUAACUGACGCUGAGGAGCGAAAGCGUGGGGAGCGAACAGGAUUAGAUACCCUGGUAGUCCACGCCGUAAACGAUGAGUGCUAAGUGUUAGGGGGUUUCCGCCUCCUUAGUGCUGCAGCUAACGCAUUAAGCACUCCGCCUGGGGAGU